UGUUCAGGGUGCGCAACACCACAUGCCUCGAAUUGUUGUUGACGGACACAUGCCCGCUAUGUUUGGGCUGGCACAUUGAUCAACAAUGUAUGGACAGCGCCCUGUGGGCACAUGAGUGUUGGGGUGUAACCGAUGUUGGUGGCCCAAUGGGUGACUCGACGAUUGCUGUUGUCGUCGGGUCGCUGCACCAACGGAGGUGGCACGCCCACAGGGCACCCUAACGGCUGUGCUGGCGUCUGUGCGUCGUUGAGCGGUUGUUGCGCCUUGCGCGGAUAUGCUGACAUGGAGUGUAGGCUGCUAUUCCAUGUCGUACGUGCCGUACCCAGCGGCAUGUCUGCGCUUGUGUGCUACGUCCGUGGCCGUGAUGAGACGACGUGUUAGGACCCGUGCCUGGCAUUGGCACGCGGUUUAAGACUUGAUGAGUGCCCGCAGGCACCGCCAGCUUUUUCUCAUUUUUAUAAAUUUUUUAAUGCAAUUUGAUUGCUAAAAUAUUCUAGUCUUAUCGGUGGAUCACUCGGCUCGUGGAUCGAUGAAGAACGCAGCCAACUGCGAUAAUUAGUGUGAACUGCAGAAACCUUGAACACAGAACUUUCGAAUGCACAUUGCGCCAUUGGAGUGACAUCCAUUGGCACGCCUGGUUCAGGGUCGUAACCAAAAAAUGCACUGCAUGUGCGUGUUUUAUUUGCUAAGAUCACGCUUCGGCGUGUUCUUGCAUACCAUUGAAUGCUACGCUGUGUAGUGUUGGACGUGCUGGCGCGAAAAUGUGUUGUCUUUCGCGCUUUACAGACCGUAAUUUAGGCACGCCCUUCGUUCACAUGCGAUAGCUGAAUGCCUCGACAUCUAUUC
rnacentral:misc_RNA from 1 species